rnacentral:rRNA from 1 species
AGAGUUUGAUCCUGGCUCAGGACGAACGCUGGCGGCGCGCCUAACACAUGCAAGUCGAACGAGCGAGAGAGAGCUUGCUUUCUUGAGCGAGUGGCGAACGGGUGAGUAACGCGUGAGGAACCUGCCUCAAAGAGGGGGACAACAGUUGGAAACGACUGCUAAUACCGCAUAAGCCCACAGGUCGGCAUCGACCAGAGGGAAAAGGAGCAAUCCGCUUUGAGAUGGCCUCGCGUCCGAUUAGCUAGUUGGUGAGGUAAUGGCCCACCAAGGCAACGAUCGGUAGCCGGACUGAGAGGUUGAACGGCCACAUUGGGACUGAGACACGGCCCAGACUCCUACGGGAGGCAGCAGUGGGGAAUAUUGCACAAUGGGGGAAACCCUGAUGCAGCGACGCCGCGUGGAGGAAGAAGGUCUUCGGAUUGUAAACUCCUGUUGUUGAGGAAGAUAAUGACGGUACUCAACAAGGAAGUGACGGCUAACUACGUGCCAGCAGCCGCGGUAAAACGUAGGUCACAAGCGUUGUCCGGAAUUACUGGGUGUAAAGGGAGCGCAGGCGGGAAGAUAAGUUGGAAGUGAAAUCUAUGGGCUCAACCCAUAAACUGCUUUCAAAACUGUUUUUCUUGAGUAGUGCAGAGGUAGGCGGAAUUCCCGGUGUAGCGGUGGAAUGCGUAGAUAUCGGGAGGAACACCAGUGGCGAAGGCGGCCUACUGGGCACCAACUGACGCUGAGGCUCGAAAGUGUGGGUAGCAAACAGGAUUAGAUACCCUGGUAGUCCACACCGUAAACGAUGAUUACUAGGUGUCAGAGGAUUGGCCCAUUCAAUGCAGCGGUAACAACGAGAAUGUAAUCCUCCUGGGGAGUACACGCGAAAAAUUAAAGCUCAUAGAAAUUGACGGGGGCCAGCACAAGCAGUGGAGUAAGAGGUUUAAAUCAAAGCAACGGGAAGAACCUUAGCAAGUCUAGACAUCGUGUGACGCGCAUAGAAAUAUGUGUUUCAUUCGGGAGGAAGAGACAGGUGGUGCAUGGUUGUCGUCAGCUCGUGUCGUGGGAUGUUGGGUUAAGUCCCGCAACGAGCGCAACCCUUACUGUCAGUUAGUACGCAAGAGGACUCUGGCGGGACUGCCGUUGACAAAACGGAGGAAGGUGGGGAUGACGUCAAAUCAUCAUGCCCUUUAUGACUUGGGCUACACACGUACUACAAUGGCGUUAAACAAAGAGAAGCAAGACCGCGAGGUGGAGCAAAACUCAGAAACAACGUCCCAGUUCGAACUGCAGGCUGCAACUCGCCUGCACGAAGUCGGAAUUGCUAGUAAUCGUGGAUCAGCAUGCCACGGUGAAUAAAUUCCCGGGCCUUGUCUCGCCGCCCGUCA